AUGGUUCCCAGCACAGUUCAGAUGGUUCGGAGCACAGCUGUGAAGCACACCCCUUCCCCUCUUGCCUGGGGCCCGACUUUCUCGCUAGUGGCAGCUUCUCCCCCAGAACAGCGGUCCCUGGACAUCAGGGGCUCACACCCGGGGAAAGAAAUGAUUUCACUGCCCCUUUGGGCCACCACCCCCUCCUUGUAUAAGCACAGCCCCCCUGUGUGCACAUCAUGUGGGGACACCUCGGAAGCCUUUCCCAAGCUGCCUGGCCUGUGGCAGGGAGGGCCACGGGCAGUGCUGUGGACACUGCAAGCUGCCAGGGGACGGGCCAGCCCUCUGUCCUGGGGCUCAGUCCCACACGUGCUGACCCAACUUACCUUCCCCUUCCCCAGAAGGGGGCUUCCCUUGGAGUAUAGACUCAGAGGAGCAGAACCUGACCAGGGAUCAGAAGUCUGCAGAGCAAUAGAUGGAAGGAUGGAUGGAUGGAUGGGUGGAUGGAUGGAUAGAUGGAGGGAGGGAAGGAUGGAUGGAGGGAGGGAAGGAUGGAUGAAUGAAUGGGAGGGAGGAAGGAAUUCUGGCUGGGACAGCAAAUCUCCAUCUCUGAGAGCUGUGGUGGGCAGGGCAGGGCGGGCCACAGUGCUUGGCCUGGCUCCCUUCACAGAGGGUCCUGACUCACUCUGUGCCUCUGACUGCUCUCAGCCUGGGAGAGUCAGACUAGGCCCAGGGCGCCGUCCUUCACCCCUUAGUCUCUUGGUUCCUCCCCCUCCUUGGAGUCCACCCAGCACCUCCCUUACCCGUCCCCCCACCCCGUGCUCCCAUUUGCAGCCCUCUCAGCCACAGCCAUCCUUCCCGCGUGUGUGAGGGGAGAGGGAGACCCACAUCUCCCCAAAAAUGUGAGCUUUGGGGGCACCACAUCCCCCCUUAGGCCUCCUCACCUGACACCACCUGCUCCCUGGCCCCGUGCCUGAUCCCAAGCAGAAAUAGCAGCAGGAAGCACAGGGCGCCGGGAGAGACACUGGACUAAAUAUACUCUUCUGUGUAUUCUUUCUAUUGUAUAUUCAAUCUGUACAUGUGGGUGUAAAUGCUGGUAAAUGACAAACCCAAUAUUAUACUGUGGCUGGUGGACUAUUUUCAUCCUCAGUGCUGUACAGAUCUAUUUUCAUUGUAUAUUUGAGAUAUUUUUAAUUUUGUAGCGUGUCGCUGGCCCAGGCCCCAGCCUGCCAGCCUGAGACAGGGUGACUGAGCCGGGCAUCUUCUCUGUCCUCACGGGCUGGGUAGUGCUUGUAGCCACUGCUGUGAGCGGGGCCCUGUCCUGCUGUGUCUGCUGUUAGCUGUAGGGCCUGGAGCUUGGCAUGCGUGUGUGCGUGCGUGUGUGUGUGUGUGUGCACAUACGUGGGCGUGGGUGUGUGUAGGCUGCUAAUUUGUGUUUCCCAGCGUUCACCACAACCCUGAAGACCACGCCGCCGCCGCCUCCUGCCCCUCCUCUCAGCUCCAUCAGGCGAGGUCGCAGGGCAGGGUCCCGUGGGAAGUGCCCUCUGUGGGAAAGGCACACGCUUCUGACGGGUGACACAUUGCCUUCACACCAGCGGGCUUGCCCGAAACGGGGAAGGGGGGUCUUGGGGGCAUGGGGGAGGUCCUUAAAUUUCUUUUCCAGCCAGCCUCUUGCUGUGCCCAUUGGAGGCACAAGCUCUUCCCUCCCAGGGUAAGCUCUGGGUUUCUCAAGAGGACGAGACCCCAAGAGGGCAUUGGCUCACAGGGCCCCUGUCCUGUGUGUGUCCUUGACACAUCACUGGCAGUGUUCAGAGGGAACAGCUGACCCUCCCCUGUGCCUCUGACACACGCCACCUGGGAGUGGGGCAGGGCCGAGAGCAGGUGGGGCAUCUGACCAGGUCAGACCAGACCCAGAGCCCCCACAGGAGCAGGAGGUGGCCAGAGGGGCAGGCCCCUAUGCUCCUGCACAGGGUCUCCACCCCAAUGACUUUGGUGCUGUCCUUGCAGUGCCCACAGGGGACAGAGCGGACCUAGGGCAGAGCAGGGCAGGGCUGUACCGGAAAGAGUCCCUGGUCCUGCCUCUGCUUGCCCUCCAGCCCGUCACCAGCUUCUUGCUCAGGGAGCCCUUUCUGCUGAGGCAGCUUGCAGCCGAGGCCCAGAUGGGGUGGGCACACAGGCUGGUGCCAGCCAGGUUGGCUUUUGCCCUCAAGCAGUAUAAGUCUGUGGGGGCUGCUGCUCUUCUAGUGCCCGGAGAAGCCCUCCCGAGUCAGUCUGCCACGGGCCAUGUGGCUGGCAGGGGGCGGAAGCCGCAUGGGCCCAGGCCUGAGCGGGCUGCCGCGUUAUGAUGGGCAGGGGGUGGGCCUCUGCCCAUCCUCACUGCACCUCCCCCUCCCCGCCAGAGCACAGGUUGGAAUGCACGCGACUCCCUGAGCCCUGAACCUGGGGACCCACUACCCCUUCACUGGAGCCUAGUGACUGGAGGGGAGGGGGGAGGGUCCGGGGUCCCCGCUCAUCCCAGCCCUGCUUUGUACAGACCCAAGCGCACCUGGCAGACGUCACUUUAGGUUCUGGCACCAGCUCAGAACAAUUCCAGUCCACGUGCCCCACACUAGACAAGAGUCCUGGGUCACGACCACUCAGCCCAGGGGAGGGAACAAGGCAUUGUCACCCCUGGAGACCCUCUUUCCUCUCUUUCCUCCCAUGGUGUACAAUAAAGCGUCUGUUCUUACCAAA